GCAGUAGCCGCGGUAACACGGAGGGGGCUAGCGUUGUUCGGAAUUACUGGGCGUAAAGCGCACGUAGGCGGCUAUGUAAGUUAGAGGUGAAAGCCUGGAGCUCAACUCCAGAAUUGCCUUUAAGACUGCAUCGCUUGAACGUCGGAGAGGUGAGUGGAAUUCCGAGUGUAGAGGUGAAAUUCGUAGAUAUUCGGAAGAACACCAGUGGCGAAGGCGGCUCACUGGACGACUGUUGACGCUGAGGUGCGAAAGCGUGGGGAGCAAACAGGAUUAGAUACCCCCGUAGUCCCUGUCUCUUAUAA
rnacentral:rRNA from 1 species